UACAGAGGUCUCAAGCGUUGUUCGGAUUCAUUGGGCGUAAAGGGUGUGUAGGUGGCGCGCUAAGUCGGGUGUGAAAUUUCGGAGCUUAGCUCCGAAACUGCAUUCGAUACUGGCGUGCUUGAGGACUGGAGAGGAGACUGGAAUUUACGGUGUAGCAGUGAAAUGCGUAGAUAUCGUAAGGAAGACCAGUGGCGAAGGCGGGUCUCUGGACAGUUCCUGACGCUGAGGCACGAAGGUCAGGGGAGCAAACGGG
rnacentral:rRNA from 1 species